UACGUAGGGUGCGAGCGUUGUCCGGAAUUAUUGGGCGUAAAGAGCUCGUAGGCGGUGUGUCGCGUCGGCCGUGAAAACCUGGGGCUCAACUCUGGGCGUGCGGUCGAUACGGGCAUCACUUGAGUUCGGCAGGGGAGACUGGAAUUCCUGGUGUAGCGGUGAAAUGCGCAGAUAUCAGGAGGAACACCGGUGGCGAAGGCGGGUCUCUGGGCCGUAACUGACGCUGAGGAGCGAAGCAUGGGGAGCGAACGG
rnacentral:rRNA from 1 species